GGGGGGGGGGCUCGUGGAGGAGGCGGGGUCACGGCAGUCCUGCCAGGGCCGCCAUUUUUGCAAAGGGAAAAGAGGCUGGUAGAGGAGAUCUAAUUUCCAACAGUCGGCGUAGAUCCGCAGUGUGGACAGAAGUAUUGUUUUGGUUGUGUGGAAGCUAGCUAAGCAAGCGACGGGGGUCUCACCCAAGUCCCCUGUUCCUUCAUUCAGGGUAUCUACAGUGGACAGUAACGGUGAGUAAAAAGCUUCACAUUGGACUUAUGUUAAAUGAAGUCUAUCGACAAGGGAGCACGUCAAAUUAGAGUAUGUCUAUGCUGCCCAACCAGCUACUGUACUGGGUUUCUCAGACCAUGGCUAUAUUGUGGAAGAUGUCCAGGUCACUAACACCAGUUAUUGUUACUUAUUAGUUUACUGGAUGACUGGGAACUCUUUGGUUCAUCUACCUGAAUAACUUAUUAAGAUAUCUGUAAGGAGUAAGCACGAUGGAUCUGCUAGCUAGCUCUGUGUUGGUGCCAUUGCAUAUGUUAGCCAUGAAGCAUGCUAGGCAGCUCAAGCUGGCUGGGUUAAGUUUUCGCAGGUUUUUUAGCAGCAGCGUUACGUUAACUACCGUGUUUAGUAAUCCAGCAAACAUAUUGUUAAAUUGUGCUCGCUUUAAAAGGGUAGCAAACUUACUUCAGAUAGGCUUAGCUAUAUCGUUAACUAGGUAGCGUACAGGGGUGCUAGUAGGCUAAUGUAGCUAGCUACGCCGUCUAUUUAUAACGUUUGGGGUGGUUCGCAAAGACACAAACGUUUACUUUCGCAAAGCUUCCCGUUUUUACUGAUUGUAACUAGCUAACAAUGUUGCAGUCCCUUGCGGACAACCAUGCCAGGAUGAUAUUUGUGCGUUUGCUUUCCGUUAACAUUAACUAGCUUGCUCAGAAUACUGCUCAAAACGAAGGUCGCUGGUUCAGGAUACCCGCUUUAUUUCAGACAGUGCUUAAAUGGUUGGCUUACCAACAAAUGUUAAAAAAAAAUUAGUUGCAAUCUGAUGCAAUAAUAGAAUAUAAACCGAAUUCAAUUGUAGUACAACUAGCCUAACUCUAGAGCUAUAGUUAACAGUAAUUUAUUAGCGGCUUAACACGACGAGACAAAUGAAAUAGCUAGGUAAACUCGAGCUUUUUGUUAUGUUACGCACUUAGCUAGCAAGCAGGCUAACUACACACUUCACACAAGUGCUCUAUUGGAGUUGGCAAGCUUUAUUUUUAUAUAAAAGAUAACUGAGGGAAACGUGAGAGAAGUGUCGCUCUGUUGUGCAUGCGUGACAUUACUUUAAAUUCACAUUAGGUAGCUUGGUAGUAAGAGACAUUACCAGGCGUAUAACAGAUCAGUUAGCUAGUAAAAUACACGUAUAACAUGUCUAGUAUGUCAGUUGUCGAAAUCCUACAGUACGGGGUCCAUUAAAGUAUUACAUUUAGAAAACCUCACUUCUGCCACACUGUCAAAGCUCCGAAAAUGAAGUCAAGAAAUCCCCAUCUUGUAGUGUUACAAUUAAAGUAGUCAGAAUGCAUUUCGUUACUUAAUUUAGAUUCAGAGGGUAUUUGGUUCAACUGCUGCAAACGUGGGGGAGGGGACAUAUUCCGUUUGGGAGUAUCUUUCCAUUAUUGAUAGCUAGCUACAUUGUACUAACAUCGACCAAAUAAUAUGCAAUUUACAAUCGUACAAUUAUUUGUAGAAGGUUUUUGUUGAUCUUAUCUGUAAAUGUGCAAUACUUGUUAGCCAAAGUUAUUACUGUACAGCGAGACAAGACUGAGCAAGACACCGUCGACAUUAGGAUGUAGCUGGCUAGCGGGCUAACGACGUUAGCUGAUUUUAGUUAUUAGCUAGCUUAAUUUGCUUACGUUCAAUUAGCAGGCUAGAAAACUAGCUUUUUUGCUUUUUAAUGUUGAAUUCUCAAAAUGUGUUGGUUGGAUUAGCAAGGCUACGUUAUCCGAUAGAACAUUACGGAUGAUGUCAUCAGCUAACGUUAGCUUGAUAGCGAUAGCUGUUCUGCUGUUGAAAUAUUUGUUUCAGCUAAAGCUUGAGGCCAACUUUGCUUUAGAAGACGGCUUGAUUGCUAGCUAACGUUAGCCUUCCUGAUUCAAUGUCGACGAAUUUGUACAUAUCUGUCAUAAUAACAACACAGAGACGGUACCGACAGAUUGAUACUUAAGAAUGUGUGAAAGAGACGACUGAUAGCUUUCUUGGGGAUUUUCUUCUAGUGGUGAGGGUCCCCUCGGUUACACGAUUUCUCGCUGUCCUUAGAAAAGGCUCAAGGAAAA